CAGGAAAUCUGCGAUACCACAGGUGGUUGGGCAGAAACUACCCUGCAAGUCAAUUUAAGGAGGAUUCCACUCCUCAAGAGCCUCUAGAGACUUGCACCAUCAUACAAGAGAGGCCUCACCUCACGCAAGAGAACGCAGGAGAAAGCAGAGGCAGUCAUAAAGAAGGUGCUGGACUGAGGCAUGGGACAUCACUACAGAAGUUCCAGUUAGAGCAGAGAUUCACUCCAGUUGUGUAACUUACUACAGAAUAUUUUGUCAUUUUAGAGAGAUGGAAUGUCAAUGAAUGCAGUUACACUGCUCGUGCUAUCUAUGUGCUGAAGAGAGCUGACAUCACAGGGUCCCGAACCAAGACGCCAGUGUGCUUUAGAGACAUUUUAGAAUUGCUGAACUAAGGCUGCUAAGAUGGCUCAGCAGGUAAAGAUACCUGCUGCCAACUCCUGACAACCUGAAUUCAGUCCCGGACCCACAUGAUGGAGGAAAAAUCAGCUUCUAAAAGAUAUCGUCUGACUUCUACAUGCAUGCCCCACCCUCAUAUGCAUGCACACACACACACACACACACACACACACACACACACA